AUUGAACGCUGGCGGCAUGCCUUACACAUGCAAGUCGAACGGCAGCGGGGGAGAAGCUUGCUUUUCCUGCCGGCGAGUGGCGAACGGGUGAGUAAUACAUCGGAACGUGCCCUGUAGUGGGGGAUAACUAGUCGAAAGAUUAGCUAAUACCGCAUACGACCUGAGGGUGAAAGUGGGGGACCGCAAGGCCUCAUGCUAUAGGAGCGGCCGAUGCCUGAUUAGCUAGUUGGUGGGGUAAAGGCCUACCAAGGCGACGAUCAGUAGCUGGUCUGGGAGGACGGUCAGCCACCCUGGGGCUGAGACACGGCCCAAGCUCCUAAGGGGAGCAGCAGUGGGGAAUUUUGGGCAAUGGGCGGAAGGCUGAUCCAGCAAUGGCGCGUGUGUGAAGAAGGCCUUCGGGUUGUAAGGCACUUUUGGCCGGAAAGAAAUGGCUCUGGUUAAUACCUGGGGUCGAUGACGGUACCGGAAGAAUAAGGACCGGCUAACUACGUGCCAGCCGCCGCCGUAA
rnacentral:rRNA from 1 species